rnacentral:rRNA from 1 species
ACGGGUGAGUAACGCGUGGGAAUCUACCCAUCUCUACGGAAUAACGCAUGGAAACGUGUGCUAAUACCGUAUACGUCCUUCGGGAGAAAGAUUUAUCGGAGAUGGAUGAGCCCGCGUUGGAUUAGCUAGUUGGUGGGGUAAAGGCCUACCAAGGCGACGAUCCAUAGCUGGUCUGAGAGGAUGAUCAGCCACACUGGGACAGAGACACGGCCCAGACUCCUACGGGAGGCAGCAGUGGGGAAUAUUGGACAAUGGGCGCAAGCCUGAUCCAGCCAUGCCGCGUGAGUGAUGAAGGCCCUAGGGUUGUAAAGCUCUUUCACCGGUGAAGAUAAUGACGGUAACCGGAGAAGAAGCCCCGGCUAACUUCGUGCCAGCAGCCGCGGUAAUACGAAGGGGGCUAGCGUUGUUCGGAUUUACUGGGCGUAAAGCGCACGUAGGCGGACUAUUAAGUCAGGGGUGAAAUCCCGGGGCUCAACCCCGGAACUGCCUUUGAUACUGGUAGUCUUGAGUUCGAGAGAGGUGAGUGGAAUUCCGAGUGUAGAGGUGAAAUUCGUAGA